AAAAGUGAGCGUUGCGGCAGGCUUAAUACAUGCAGUCGUGGGGCAGCAUGAAUGUAGCAAUACAUUUGAUGGCGACCGGCAAACGGGUGCGGAACACGUACACAACCUUCCUAUAAGUGGGGAAUAGCCCAGAGAAAUUUGGAUUAAUACCCCGUAACAUAACGAUGUGGCAUCACAUUGUUAUUAUAGCUUCGGCGCUUAUUGAUGGGUGUGCGGCUGAUUAGAUAGUUGGCGGGGUAACGGCCCACCAAGUCUACGAUCAGUAGCUGAUGUGAGAGCAUGAUCAGCCACACGGGCACUGAGACACGGGCCCGACUCCUACGGGAGGCAGCAGUAAGGAAUAUUGGUCAAUGGACGCAAGUCUGAACCAGCCAUGCCGCGUGAAGGAUUAAGGUCCUCUGGAUUGUAAACUUCUUUUAUCUGGGACGAAAAAAGGCGAUUCUUCGUCACUUGACGGUACCAGAUGAAUAAGCACCGGCUAACUCCGUGCCAGCAGCCGCGGUAAUACGGAGGGUGCAAGCGUUAUCCGGAUUCACUGGGUUUAAAGGGUGCGUAGGCGGGCAGGUAAGUCAGUGGUGAAAUCCUGGAGCUUAACUCCAGAACUGCCAUUGAUACUAUCUGUCUUGAAUAUUGUGGAGGUAAGCGGAAUAUGUCAUGUAGCGGUGAAAUGCUUAGAUAUGACAUAGAACACCUAUUGCGAAGGCAGCUUACUACGCAUAUAUUGACGCUGAGGCACGAAAGCGUGGGGAUCAAACAGGAUUAGAUACCCUGGUAGUCCACGCCCUAAACGAUGGAUACUCGACAUACGCGAUACAC
rnacentral:rRNA from 1 species